UUCGUAGGUGACCUGCGGAAGGAUCAUUACUGAAUUGUCAACAAGAGUUGUUGCUGGUCCCCAAAUGGGGACACGUGCACGCUCUGUUAACACAUCCACUCACACCCUGUGCACCCUCUGUAGUUCUAUGGUUGGGGGGGGACCUGUCCUCUCCUGCUGUGGUUCUGCAUCUUUACAUACACACUGUAACAAAGUCUCAUGGAAUGCAUGCCGCGUUUAACGCAAUAAAAUACAACUUUCAGCAACGGAUCUCUUGGCUCUCGCAUCGAUGAAGAACGCAGCGAAAUGCGAUAAGUAAUGUGAAUUGCAGAAUUCAGUGAAUCAUCGAAUCUUUGAACGCACCUUGCGCCCUUUGGCAUUCCGAAGGGCAUGCCUGUUUGAGUAUCAUGAACACCUCAACUCUUCAUGGUUUUCCAUGAUGAGCUUGGACUUUGGGGGUCUUGCUGGCCUGCGGUCAGCUCCUCUCAAAUGAAUCAGCUUACCAGUGUUUGGUGGGCAUCACAGGUGUGAUAACUAUCUGCGCUUGUGGUUUUCCACCAAGUAACCUUCAGCAGUGGAGGUUCACUGGAGCUCACAGACGUCUCUCCUCAGUGAGGACAGCCCUUUGAAUGUUUGAUCUCAAAUCAGGUAGGACUACCCGCUGAACUUAAGCAUAUCAAUAAGCGGAGGAAAAGAAACUAACAAGGAUUCCCCUAGUAACUGCGAGUGAAGCGGGAAGAGCUCAAAUUUAAAAUCUGGCGUGCCUCUGGUCGUCCGA
rnacentral:rRNA from 1 species